rnacentral:tRNA from 1 species
GCGGUCGUGGCGGAAUGGUAGACGCGCAACGUUGAGGGCGUUGUGGGAGCAAUCCCGUGGAAGUUCGACUCUUCUCGACCGCA